rnacentral:lncRNA from 1 species
CCCCCGUCUCCUCCGCCGCGCGUCUUUCCCGGCCCGCCCGGUGCAUUGUGGGCUGACGUCUUGGGAUUUGACUGUCGGGUGACGGCGGCUGCCGCGAGCCGGGCGGACGCGGGCGGACGCGGGCGGACGCGGGCUCCCGCGGCCCGGGCGGGCUCCAGUUCAGGGCGCUGGCGGGAAGGCGCGGGGACCCGGCCAGGAAAACAAGUCCCGAGAGUGUCAGAUACUCAGGAAUAAGUCACGCAGCGAGUCCCGGGUGGGACCUGGAUUUCACACCGGCUGCCCUCCCGGCCGGGUGGUGGGCCCAUAUCCCGGGUGGCCUCUAGGAAGCGCUAGACUCAUGACCAGGUGCACUUACUCCAGUGA